UACGUAGGGUGCGAGCGUUAAUCGGAAUUACUGGGCGUAAAGCGUGCGCAGGCGGUUUUGUAAGCCAGAUGUGAAAUCCCCGGGCUUAACCUGGGAAUGGCAUUUGGGACUGCAAGGCUGGAGUGCGGCAGAGGAGACUGGAAUUCCUGGUGUAGCAGUGAAAUGCGUAGAUAUCAGGAGGAACACCAGAGGCGAAGGCGGAUCGCUGGGCCAACACUGACGCUGAGACGCGAAAGCUAGGGUAGCAAACGGG
rnacentral:rRNA from 1 species